rnacentral:rRNA from 1 species
UACGUAGGUGGCAAGCGUUGUCCGGAUUUAUUGGGUUUAAAGGGUGCGUAGGCGGCUUAUUAAGUCAGUGGUGAAAGACGAUAGCUUAACUAUCGAGGUGCCAUUGAUACUGAUAAGCUUGAGUACAGUUGAGGUAGGCGGAAUGGACGGUGUAGCGGUGAAAUGCAUAGAUAUCGUCCAGAACACCGAUAGUGAAGACAGCUUACCAAGCUGUAACUGACGCUGAGGCACGAAAGUGUGGGGAUCAAACAGG